rnacentral:ncRNA from 1 species
CCCUGACAGUCGCAUGGUGCGGCUGACACUUGCCACGACAGGAGAUUCUCAUG